AACACCCAAAUAACUUAAAUAUAGCUUCUUACUUAGUGCAUAGAUUUUCGUCUGUCAAACGUCAAACAUCGGUUUACGAAUGUCAACAUUGUAAAAUUUGCAGUAAUGUUGACGAACAUAACUCGUGCAGUAGUUUUUUUUUAUUCAGAUAGAUUCAUCGAUUUGAGGCGUAUUCAACUACAAUUAUUUUAGCCCCCACAGAGGAAAAAGGUGCUUUAUCUCAAUAUUCAUCAUUGGGAUAUGUUUCGUGCUACAAGAUAAUUUGAAAUUAUAUUGAUUCCGGUGAAAAACAGAUGCCCGUUGUAGACAACAUGCUCGGGACUGUGUGAUGUGCCAAUCACGUUGCUAAAAUCGUCAGGAAGUGAAACUUUUUAGCGUUUAUUUUUCAAGGCAGCUGUAGCAAAAUUUGUAAAUGACAUCUCUAAAGCAUCCAAGCCUAGUAGAAGAGCGUACAACACCCGCGUUGGCUACGUCUAUGGGACUAGACUUAUAUUGGGUUCCGCGUGGUAUUUCGAAGCUCCAAUUGCUUGGUACAUGGCGGAUAGACAGUCUAUCGGUCCUUGUUGAUCUGACUGAUGAGAUUGUUAACGGCACGAUGGAUCCGGAGCAGCAGCAGGAAACC